rnacentral:rRNA from 1 species
ACUCCUACGGGAGGCAGCAGUGGGGAAUAUUGCACAAUGGGCGCAAGCCUGAUGCAGCCAUGCCGCGUGUGUGAAGAAGGCCUUCGGGUUGUAAAGCACUUUCAGUCGUGAGGAAGGGUAGUAGUAGUUAAUAGCUUGCUUGAUCUUUUGAACGUUAGCGAACAGAAGAAGCGACCGGCUAACUCCGUGCCAGCAGCCGCGGUAAUACGGAGGGUGCGAGCGUUAAUCGGAAUUACUGGGCGUAAAGCGCAUGCAGGUGGUUUGUUAAGUCAGAUGUGAAAGCCCGGGGCUCAACCUCGGAAUUGCAUUGAAACUUGGACAGACGUAGAGUAC